rnacentral:rRNA from 1 species
UACGGAGGGUGCGAGCGUUUGUCCGGAAUCAUUGGGCGUAAAGGGCGCGUAGGUGGCGGGACAAGCGUGCGGUGAAAGCUCGGGGCUCAACCCCGAGUCGGCCGUGCGAACUGUUUUGCUUGAGCACUGUAGAGGCAGGCGGAAUUCCGGGUGUAGCGGUGGAAUGCGUAGAGAUCCGGAAGAACACCGGUGGCGAAGGCGGUUAGCUGGGCAGUUGCUGGACACUGGAGGCGCGACAGCGUGGGGAGCAAACAGGG